UGCCAGCCGCCGCGGUAAUACGGAGGGUGCAAGCGUUAAUCGGAAUUACUGGGCGUAAAGCGCGCGUAGGCGGCUUUGUAAGUCGGAUGUGAAAGCCCCGGGCUCAACCCGGGAAUUGCAUUCGAUACUGCAUGGCUAGAGUAUGGUAGAGGGAAGUGGAAUUUCCGGUGUAGCGGUGAAAUGCGUAGAUAUCGGAAGGAACACCAGUGGCGAAGGCGACUUCCUGGGCCGAUAUUGACGCUGAGGCGUGAAGGCGUGGGUAGCGAACGGGAUUAGAUA
rnacentral:rRNA from 1 species